AUGGAGGUUAUCUCAGAUGUCAAAACACUUCCCUGUGAACAUUACUAUUUUGGACACUGGCCAUUUUACAAAUUUCAAUAUUCAUUUUUGCUCCACCGCUGUUUGAUAUUCCUGUGGUACUUAUUCACCAGGCAUGAUGGUAAUAUUAUGGAAACGGUGAGGCAUCAAGAUCUUAAUUUUGCUCUGACAUGGAAUCUAUUCCUAUUUCAUACACAGGUUGGCUGUUAUUUUCUAGCAGAUGCUUUAAGGUUGAUACAUAUAAAAUUCACCCUCUGUUUGGAAUUAAGUAGAGGGGGAAAGGGGAACAAAAACAACAACAACAACAACAAAAGGAUGAAGAGCGUAGUGAGAUGCUUCUGUGGUUUUGGUGGUCUACUACUGGAACCAUGCUGGAGGUUUACUAACUUUGGUGAUGAGAACUCUGAGUAAAAUUCCAAGGCUUUUGGAUUCCUGGAAGUGCAAAAGAAGGAAGAAAUGUGAGCUAUGCUUCUGUACAUUCAUUAUAUAAAACAAUGGAAGAAGAAAUUGGAAAGGCCAGUAAACAUGUGAAAAGAUGCUGAGGCUCAACAGCAACCAAAAAUCAGGUAUGGUUUUUUUACCCUCUGGACUGACAAGAAACAUAAAGAUCAGCAAUAUGUUUUCGUGAGGGUGGAAGAAAAUGAGUUCUUUCAUACACUGUUGGUGGGAGAAUAAUGAUAGGGUCUUUUUAGAGUCCCUCUGGCAGUAUCUGUCACCCAUUAAGCCAUCCAUACCCUUUUCUCUGCAAUUCCAAUUCUGGGUAUCUGACUUCUAGAAAUACUGGCACAAAGAUGGACAAGAAUAUUCAUCGCAACACCAUCUGUAUUAUUGAAAAUUGCAGAAACUACUUACAUGCGGGACCACAUGGGCGAUGGACUACACAACUCCAGUGGGUGCCGUUCACCUAUGGCUUUUAUGAAUGGUGCCUCUGGAUGAUGAUACUCUUUGGAGUCCCUGAUAUAUCUAAUAAUGUCAAAGGGGUUAAGUACCUUAUGGUACAUCUCAUCUGUAGCCAGUAAAAAGAAUGAAGUAGAGAUCUAUGUUCUGGCAAGGUAUAAGUCCUGCUAAUGAAAAAUAUCAUUUGUUGAACUGUGUGUACAAUUAAAUCCCUCAUGUUUAACAAAACAACAAUGUUAAAAACAAUUUUUAAAAAAUCCAAUAUUAUGUGUGAG
rnacentral:lncRNA from 12 species